rnacentral:rRNA from 1 species
AUUGAACGCUGGCGGCAUGCCUUACACAUGCAAGUCGAACGGUAACAGGUUAAGCUGACGAGUGGCGAACGGGUGAGUAAUGUAUCGGAACGUGCCCAGUCGUGGGGGAUAACUGCUCGAAAGAGCAGCUAAUACCGCAUACGACCUGAGGGUGAAAGCGGGGGAUCGCAAGACCUCGCGCGAUUGGAGCGGCCGAUAUCAGAUUAGGUAGUUGGUGGGGUAAAGGCCCACCAAGCCAACGAUCUGUAGCUGGUCUGAGAGGACGACCAGCCACACUGGGACUGAGACACGGCCCAGACUCCUACGGGAGGCAGCAGUGGGGAAUUUUGGACAAUGGGCGCAAGCCUGAUCCAGCCAUGCCGCGUGCGGGAAGAAGGCCUUCGGGUUGUAAACCGCUUUUGUCAGGGAAGAAACGGCUUUCUCUAAUACAGAGAGCUAAUGACGGUACCUGAAGAAUAAGCACCGGCUAACUACGUGCCAGCCGCCGCGGUAAUAC